UACGGAGGAUUCGAGCGUUAUCCGGAUUUAUUGGGUUUAAAGGGUGCGUAGGCGGUCGGAUAAGUUAGAGGUGAAAUCCCGGGGCUCAACUUCGGAAUUGCCUCUGAUACUGUUCGGCUAGAGAGUAGUUGCGGUAGGCGGAAUGUAUGGUGUAGCGGUGAAAUGCUUAGAGAUCAUACAGAACACCGAUUGCGAAGGCAGCUUACCAAGCUACUUCUGACGUUGAGGCACGAAAGCGUGGAGAGCAAACAGG
rnacentral:rRNA from 1 species